UGUCCAGGGAUGGGAAUCGAACCCACAGUGUUCCGCUUACCGGGCAGAUGCCAUGUCCACUAGGCUAUUUUUC
rnacentral:tRNA from 1 species